rnacentral:rRNA from 1 species
CCUACGGGUGUCCGCAGUGGGGAAUCUUGCACAAUGGGGGAAACCCUGAUGCAGCAACGCCGCGUGAGUGAAGAAGUAUUUCGGUAUGUAAAGCUCUAUCAGCAGGGAAGAAGAUGACGGUACCUGAUUAAGAAGCCCCGGCUAACUACGUGCCAGCAGCCGCGGUAAUACGUAGGGGGCAAGCGUUAUCCGGAUUUACUGGGUGUAAAGGGAGCGCAGACGGCAGUGCAAGUCUGGAGUGAAAGCCCGGGGCCCAACCCCGGAACUGCUCUGGAAACUGUGCGGCUAGAGUACUGGAGGGGCAGGCGGAAUUCCUAGUGUAGCGGUGAAAUGCGUAGAUAUCUGGAGGAACAUCAGUGGCGAAGGCGACUAUCUGGCACAUAACUGACGCUGAGGAGCGAAAGCGUGGGUAGCAAACAGGAUUAGAUACCCCUGUAGUC